rnacentral:misc_RNA from 1 species
AAAGUGAAUAUCGAAUACGACAAGUCAAAAAUAAGUUGAACAUCGAGCGCUGAUUCAAGAGAAUUGUGGUACCGACGUUCUCGUAAUGUCAAAAUUUUUGGCCGCCAGAGGUCCUUGCAGAAGGCUGCCGUAAUCGGUUGACGGUUACUACAGUCGUUCACUGACGAGCGUCGUGAUCGGACAAGUUUUCGGCUCGUGACGCUGCGAAGGAAGAUGGCAGAUUCAGCCAUGACCGUUCGGUACGCCGUGGUUGUGACAAUCGGUGUAUUUUUGUUAAAAUCAUGCAGUGGAGAAGAGACGGACAUAAAGUUAGACAAAAAGGCUCAAUUGUUGCACAGGUUGGACAGCUUGAACUUGUUAUUGUACACGUUUCUACUAAUACUGACAGUGUUAACUAUAUGGACUUUCAAGCAUCGCCGACUGCGAUUCUUGCACGAGACUGGCCUUGCUGUCAUCUACGGACUGAUUGUUGGGGCAAUAAUCCGAUAUGGUUUCACAAAUAGCAGCACAAUAGUUCACAUGCCUGUAGUACCGGAACCUGAUGGUAGCCAUUACAAUCAGUCGGUACCACCGGAUACAUUGUGGUUACGUUUUCCGGAAAGUAAGGGUGAUGGAACAACCAAGAAUAAAACUUUUGCCUAUUCCUUUCGUGGAGAAAUUUAUAAGCGAGACAACGAAAUUGACCUCAAGGCUACAUUUGAUCCAGAAAUCUUCUUCAACAUUAUUCUACCCCCGAUUAUAUUCCAUGCUGGAUACAGUUUAAAGAGGAAAUACUUCUUUAGAAAUCUUGGCGCUAUUUUGACCUACGCAUUGAUAGGAACUACCAUAUCUUCCUUUGUCAUUGGCGCACUCAUGUACACCUUCAUACAGCUGAUACCUCAUUUAGCUUCAUCGUUUACUUUCCUAGACACCUUGUACUUUGGUGCUCUGAUCUCGCCAACCGAUCCAUUGACAAUCAUUUCCAUAUUCAACGAUCUACACGUUGACGUGAAUUUGUACGCUCUUGUCUUUGGAGAGAGUGUGUUGAAUGAUGCGGUUGCCAUUGUGCUUAGUGGGUCUAUCCAAAACUACGCCGAACGGUAUCAGUCAGGCUCUGGCGGGUUUGAAACUUGGGCAUUUUUCCAAGCCCUUGGAGAUUUUAUUAGAAUAUUCAGCCUGUCGCUGUUCAUAGGAGCCACAAUGGGCUGCGUUACUGCAUUGCUGACUAAGUUCACCCGAGUUAGAGAUUUCCCAUUGCUGGAAUCUGCCCUCUUCGUCUUGAUGUCCUACAGCACUUUUCUCAUCGCCGAAGCCUCUGAUCUUACAGGCGUCGUUGCUGUACUAUUCUGUGGUAUAUGCCAAGCUCACUACACCUAUAACAACUUGAGCGUCGAUUCGCGACAACGGACUAAGCAGCUCUUUGAAUUGCUCAAUUUUUUAGCAGAAAAUUUUAUUUUCAGCUACAUCGGUGUCUCCAUGUUCACUUUCCCGAAACAUCAUUUCGAUCCAGGUUUCAUUUUCGCUGGAUUCUUCUGUGCAUUGCUUGGUCGAGCAGUGAACGUUUACCCGUUAUCCUUCCUCUUGAAUUUGGGACGUAACCCAAAAAUACCAUCGAACUAUCAGCACAUGUUGUUUUGUGCCGGUUUAAGAGGAGCGAUGAGCUUUGCUCUCGCCAUUAGAAAUACUGUGUCCGAUGCUCGGCAAGCUAUGCUAACAACGACGAGUCUGAUUGUUAUUCUCACAGUCAUUCUACAGGGUGGUGCCACCACACAAUUUUUAAGCUGGUUCAACAUACCUGUUGGUGUUGACGAAGAAGUUGAAGUAUUAUCUUACAAUGGAGUACGAAGCGUGUACAAUUCCAUGGACACCACGGGGUCUGCUGGCGAUGGUGGCUUUGGUGAUCCAGAGAGUCGGCGUGAAAGAAGUCCCACGUACGAUUCUAUGCAGGGUGGUUCCCUGUCGAUGGGUGGAAGCACAUCGAAAACAAAUGAAAAGGCUCUGCUUGCAAGAAUAUGGGGCAAUUUUGACACCCAUUACAUGAAACCGUUACUUACACACUCUCGACCAACCCUACUGGACACUCUACCGGUCUGUUGUGGUCCUUUGGCCAGGAUCUUGACCACUACUCAGCAAAUGACACAGGGAUUUGAAUUUUGCUCAAUUUAUACAGGACAAUGUGGCUCGGAGGGUGGAUUCAGACUCUGACUUGUGCCUGGAGGAUCGUGACACUGAUAGGCGGAGGACGAGCAUUCAGCCGUGGGAAGCUAACGGCGACGUGGAUCUUCCUAUGCUUGGAAUGGAAGGAUAUAUUCCAUUGCGAACGUUGUAAAAUGGGACUGAUUGUGAGCUGAUCGAAUCUUACACGAUAACCAUAGAUGUAGCGUACAAAUAACAAAAACGACUCCAAAAACAACAACAAAAACAACAACAACAACAACAACAACAAUAACAAUAAUGAAAUUUUGAACUAACAUUAUAUUAUUAAACACAAAGUUUUGCACCGUUAAAACUUGAGAAUCAAACGCAGAAAUUAAAACCUUGUGAUAAGCUCCUCCUGUUCCCUCUGCUGCGUCUAAAAACUUUAGAGUUUUCUUACUUUGUAUAUUCUAAUUACACAUCACGAUGAAAAAGUUCAUACACGGUUUCGAAGUAGCUAAUUUAUCUUUACAUCAUAUACACAAUGUUUUAUUUUUCUCACUUGUACUAUAAUUGAAACAAUCAUUUUCUCUAUUCCAAUGUCAUUACAUUAUACAGAUUCACCGAUUGCGUGUUUAUUUCAAUAACGUAUAUUUUUCACUUCUCAUGUGAAAAGUCUACGUGAAUUGAUUUUUUAAAAAAUUUCAAGUAAUUAACAAUCGACUUUUCGACUAGUUAUAAGUAAUACACAAUAGUAUUGCGUGUAUCGUCGCAGCAUAUAAUUUUAUUGGGGGAUGUAAUUAGGAUCGAGCAUUAAACAUAAUUUUCGAAACAAAGUGUGAGUAAAUGUAUAAAUGUUUUAUUUAUAUGUUAUUUUAUGAUAAAUUUAUUCAUAACACCAAAGUUAGGUACUAUAAAUUGCUGUACACAUAGCUAUAAUAGUAUAAUAGUUACUGCAUUCCUAUAUACUAACAAUUACCGAAGUUAUUAUACUUUUUAUAUGUAUAGUUGACGAUGUUUGAAGAGUAUUUUGCAUAGGAAAACAAAUUAACGAAAGAAAGAAAAUAGCUGAAAUUAGAAUUUAAAAAUUGCACACUGAAGAAUUGUUUGCAAAAAGUAUUUACCAAGCAUUUUUGCACGCGGCUUGGAGGAUCCGACCUCACCUCUGGCCUACAACUUCAUGUGAGGUGCUGUCUUUAACCAUCCGAUGAGAGAACUAAAUAAUAUAAAACAAAAAUGAAAAGGUUACCUCGGUUUAGCAGAAGGUUUUAUUACUUAACUCCUUAAUUAACUUAAAUGCGUGUCAAUGAUUGCAUUAUACCUAUACAAGCGAUAAUCAUUGGUAUUCGUAAUUUAAAAACAAUCAUUUUUAUACAUGUAUGUAUGUGUAUAUGUAUGUAUAUAUACAAAAUCAGAAGCACGAUUCAUUUAUGUAUACAUACAUUCACAAAACAGCAUUUGAUACGUAGUACAGGGUACAAAUGCAUUAUGUAACGACAGUGUGCCAACUAAUUAUUUAAUUUCACUUUUUCCUCGUUAAUUUUUUUUUUUUUUGUUUUAUUUUCGCUUAUUCCUUCCACACAGCUAGUCAGUUCGUAUAUACUAUACAGAAAUUUUAUAUACGUUUACGUUUGUAAAGGCGAUAUACCUAUAACUAUACAUAUACUAACUGCAUAUAGGGUGGCGUUGUUUGGAUUGGUGUUAUCUACUAUCAUAUCACUUUUAUUUUCUUUAUAUGUACAACUGCGCAUAUUUUAUUGUAUAUGCCUCCUGUUUCUUUUUACUUCUUUUUUUUUUUUUUCUUUUUGUUUUUCGAAAAUGCUCUUUGACAACAUAUGCGAUCUUGUACUUAGUUGAUAUUUUCUCAUCUGAAAUAAUAAUAAUAAUAAUAAUGAUGAUAAUAUUAAAUGUAAUAUUAUUAGUGAUAAUAUUUUGUAAAGCAGUUGAAACGUAUUCUAGUCUGCAUGAACUUUGAUAUAUGUUGUGUGUUUCGAUGAGCAUUUUUGAAAGAGAAUGAUGAAUAAAAAAAAGAACAGCGAGAUAUUGACAGAAUUUAAAAUAAAUAUAUAAUUUUUAAAACAGAAACAUGAUGACAAUUAUUUUUUUGAUGAAUGACUGUUGAAAUGCUAAUGAAAGUUAGCACGAUGAUGAUGUGGCAUAUUAUAUUACUUGAUUUCACUUAAAUCGUCUAUAAUAAUAACAAAAACAACA